UACGUAGGGGGCAAGCGUUGUCCGGACUUACUGGGCGUAAAGCGCGCGCAGGCGGACUGGUAUGUGCCGUGUGAAAGCGCCGAACUUCCUUCGGCGAGGCCAUGGUAGACAGCCAGUCUUGAGCCUCGGAGAGGUCGAUGGAAUUCCUGGUGUAGCGGUGAAAUGCGCAGAUAUCAGGAAGAACACCUAUGGCGAAGGCAGCUCUCUGGGACGGUACUGACGCUGAGACGCGAAAGCGUGGGGAGCGAACAGG
rnacentral:rRNA from 1 species